AUUUAGAAUCACAGCACUUUCCAUAAUGUGAAAUAAAAAGAAGUGAAAUAGAAGUAGCUGGAUAGAAAAAGUGAAGUCAACAGAAGACCGCCUCAAGGAAAAGGAAGAGUCAUAACUGUGCACCAGGCGUACUGGCUAUGUGACCUCAAUCAUGGCUUUCCUCCUCUUAAUCUCAACUCCUCCAUUUGUAAAUUAAGAGGAAAGAAAUUUGAACAGGAAGACAGAUAGACACAAGCAGACCAUCAUGUAAAGAUAAAGAUAGGAAUCAAGAGUGAUGCAUUUGCAAACUAAGAACACGGAAGAAUCCCAGUAAAUCACCAGAAGUUAGGAAAAAGUCAUGGAAUAGAUUCUGCCUCAGAGCCUCCAGAGGAAUCCAACCCUGC
rnacentral:lncRNA from 1 species